CUCUGUGUUUUCAACAUCUAAGGAUCAUGAACAUUGUCGAGGUAGCUCUAAAGAUGGACUCUUCUCAGGGCCUCCUGGCUGUGAUGCUCCUCAUCCUCACAAGGGCCCAUGGAGACUCAGUAACUCAGACGCAAGGUCAAGUGGUCCUCUCAGAAAAGGACAUUCUUACUAUACACUGCAACUAUUCAGCCGCAGGGUACCCGGCUCUGUUCUGGUAUCUGCAGUAUCCCGGAGAAGGUCUACAGCUCCUCUUUAGAGCCUCAAAGGCCAACGAGAAGGGAAGCAGCAGAGGUUUCGAAGCUACGUAUGAUAAAGAAACCACGUCCUUCCACUUGCAGAAAGCCUCAGUGCAAGCGUCGGACUCGGCCGUGUACUACUGUGCUCUGAAUGACACAGUGGCAGAAACCACAGAGGGAGCUGAGCACAAACUCUGAGAAGCAGAGGCCUAACCGCUGAGCCUCUGGGAUUGAUUUGGUUCCUCUUUGUGCUGUGUGCCUCUCGGUUUCUCUCGUUGGCACAAAAAUUACACGAGUAGCCUCAAGAGAAAGAACAAGAAGUAGACUCUUUCACCCUCGUCUUGACUGGGACUAAACCAAAAUCCAAUGCAAAAAUACCUUGUGCAGAGGUGAAGGAGCCUCACAGUAAAGCUCUGUGAAUAAGGAAGUGGUCUGUCUGCUCUUCAUAGUAGAUGAAGUCUGUCCUCCACAUUUUCUUUCCACAGCUCUGGUAGGACUAGCUGUAUUUUGUAUUUGCAGGGAACAGGGUGUGCCAGGAAAGGGGGCUUCUGCGUAUCGUCUUCGAAAAGUAUGGCGGCAGAAGUCCCAGGAUGAAGUGAAGGCUUCACCUCAACAAGGCCUUAGAUUCUUCUGAAGGACUGAGCACCUCAGGGGCAGCUGAGCCAAGCCAUUCAUUUUCUUUUUUUAAAGUAAAUAUAAUCACAGCACUCCUGCUUCCUUUCCGUCCCCCAACCCCUCCCAUGAGCGUCCCCUUGCUCCCUCAAAAGUGUGGUCUCAUUUAUAUGUUAUCAUUGCGCGUGCACGCGCGCGCACACACACACACACACACACACACACACACACCUGCUUUAAUAUACAAAAACUGGAAGAGGAGAAUUAGACACUCCCAGGGAUGAGACUCUUAUUGAUUAACAGAUUGAGCAGUCAUUUCUCAAGCCAUUCAGAAAGCAAUAUGGACUCAGUAGAUUUUAUUUAUAUAUAUUUGUGUGCAUGAAUGCUUGUACACACACACACACACACACACACCUACACACACACACACUCACUCACACACUACAUGCUUGUAACAAUAAUAAUAAAAGAAAGUGUUAUCAAUUUGAGAAUUAAGGGUAGGAGGGUUUGAGAGAUGGUAACUCUGAGAAGCUUAAAAGAUGCGAAGGAGGGUAAAGUGGGUAAUUUUAUUUCGAUUACGAACAUAGUUUUUAAAAGGCUGAACUGAAGCUAGAGGUGAAAAACUCAAUUAACUGAAUAAAAAUUCAGAGGAUUUAUUCAUAGGUAACAUUUAAAAUGUUUAAUUAUUUUAAUAUUUUAAUGCAAAAGCCAAUUAUCAGCAAAAGCUCAAAAUCUUAUCAAGCCAUUAAAGAAAAUGGAGACACUUUUUUUCUUCCAAGAAAAAAAAUUAGUGGAAAGCCCCACCAGCAUAGUGGAUCACACAGAAGAGAGACUAUCAAGGCUGAAAGACAAAGGAGACGUCAUUCAAUCAAGGAAAACGAUGAAUGUAAAAUCCUUUGAACAGCUAUUCACCAACUUUGGGACACUGAAAUGAUCAAAUCUGUGAAUUAUGAGCACAGAAGUAAAAGAACUCAAAUUCAAGGGUCUAGGACCUAACUUAAGGGAAUCACAGAGGAAAGUGUUACAAAGUCAAGGAAAGAAAUGCCCAUCUGGGUCUAAGAGGUACAAAGAACACCAAAUGGAUAACACUGGAAACGAACCUUCCCAUGUAUUACAGGGAACAAAACAAAAUAUAGAAAACAAAAGUGGUUCUUGAAAUCUGCAAGAGAGAAGCCACAAAUCACAAACAAAAGGAAAGACAUGAUAAUAGCAGCAGACUCCUGGGAAAAGUUAAAAGACAGAAGAGAUUAAAGCAAUGAAUCACGUCCUAAAUCGCGAUGGAUGCCAGCCUAUACUCUCUGGGAUACAUCGAAAGAGUCCUGAGGGAGAAAGUUAUAGUACGAAAUGUUUUCUCUUAUCUGUACAUGUUAGCUUUGUAUUUAGAUAUGUGUGUUCCAUUUGGAAUAUCCACAAAGGACCUAAAAUUACAAAGGGGCCAUGGUGGGCUGGCAGGGGGGAAGGAGUGGUUUCAAGGAAAGGUUGAGAGAAGCAUCAAUAUAAGAUGUUUAAAAGGGAACUAUAAAACAGAAUGGAUUAAUGAUUAAAUGGAGAAAGAGGGAGAUUGGAUAGAGAAGUGGUUGCUGGGAGGGAAAUUACCACCAAAGACUAAAAAAGUUCCAUGGAAACCUACCACUGUAGAAGCUUCCCAAAGGAUCCAUGGACCGGAAGAAAGGGACAUCUGAUAUUUUUCAUUGAUUUUUGAGUUUAUACUAAAACUAAUUUAAAUAAACUGGUAAAUUAAUUCUUUGAGAGUUUCAUACAACUUUAUUCAUAGCUUAAUCAUAUUCAUCCUUCCUCAACUCCUCCCAAAUCCACUUCACUUCCCAACCUGCCCAACUCCUCUCUCUCUGUCUCUCUCUCUGUCUUUCUGUCUCUCUCUGUCUCUCUCUGUGUGUCUCUGUCUCUGUCCCUCUCUCUGUGUCUCUCUCUCCCCAUCUCUGUGUGUGUCUCUCUCUGUCUCUGUGUCUGUGUCUCUGUCUCUCUGUCUCUCUGUGUGUCUCAGAGGAACUGU